rnacentral:lncRNA from 1 species
ACGAGUGAUGACGGCGAGCGACGAUGACGAGCGAUGACCGCCUUAGUGAGCGUGAACGGUGACCUAUGAAUGGCGAUAGGAUGUCAGAUCUGGUGUGAACGCGAGCAUGAACAGAGAGGAGCGGCGAUGGUCAGAUCUAGUUAAACCCAAAAUAAGCUAAACGAUGUCAUUUAGCACUAAGGAAAUACGAUAUCAUUUAGCUUGGCCAAGCCAACACGGG